CUAUGCCAAACGUACACGAGACCCAUGAGACACUCGAUCUUCAAUCAGCUGCCCAUUGGUGACGCCCAUCUGGUCCCAUUCUAACCCUUAGAAACACAGAUAAGCACCUCGGCUUUCAGCUGACUAAAUUGAUGAUCUGCAGCUGUGCCCCGCUGUCCCUGCCUGAGGCUCACUGAUAGAGCACCUGUGUGGCUGGGCCCAGAACCUUCUGUCUUUUACUCAAAGCCUCAGCUCUGUUGCUUGUGAUCACACCAACAGCAGGAAGGGCUGAUGUGGCAGCCAGGACGGAACACCCAGGAUUCGGUGGUGUGGUCUUUUCACAAUACCCUGAGUAUCUCUCCCCAGCUUGUGUUCGCUGUUUUAAAUUGAUCCAGUCACCCACUUGAGCUGCGGCUCUUGCUUUGGUCUGCGAGCCCUUCGGCUUGGUGAUCUGUUGGCAGUGGAGUUGGCUGCUAUCCUUGCAGCAAGGACAGAAAGUCAAGUGACUUCAGCAACCACCUGACAGAAUUUCCUGCUCUCCUUAUUGGCCUGGCCAGUGUUUCAACUUCCUUACCAUCGCCUUCCUGCAGACUCUUCUGAACGUCAUCCUGAAGAGACUACGUGUCAGAGAGCAAAGAAAACUGGAGCUCCCCAAUGUAAAGAGAUCUGAAGAUGCCUAAUGUGACCUGUUGGCAGUGUGUGGGUACCUUUCUGAGAAGAGGACGAAGGGUCUUUGUAAGGAAGAGGCAGAGAAUCAGAGGGACAGAAGGUGAUGUGGUCACAAAGGAAAGAGAGACCAGGAGAUGUUGUGUGACUGGCCUUGAAGGUGCAAGAAGGGGCCCCAGACCAAGGACUACAAGUUGGAAGAGGGAAGAAACAGAUUAUCCCAGAGCCUUCAUAAGGAAAACCCUCCCUAACCCCUCUGACACUUUGAAGCAGCCCUGCAAAACUCAUUUUGAAUUUCUGACUUUCAGAGCUUUAAGAGAAAAAAAGGUUAUUUUAAGCCUCUCUAUGUGUAGUAAUUUGUUACAGCAGCAAUAGAAAACUAAUACAUGUAGGGAUCCAAUAAGAUCUUGUGUGGGAAGACUCUCAGAAAAACACAAAGCCAGGAGUCAUUAUUAGUUUAUGACAACUCACCCCUUGUUUAUUCCAUUUCUGUGCAGUGCUAUGUAAGUUUCAGCGACGAUAAUGAGGCGAGAUGCUUGAAUAAUAGCCUUACACCCCAAGGAAGGGUAUUUUUUUUCAUAGUUUAUAAUUGCCAUAGAGCUUGAAAAUCUUCCAGGUCUUAUAGUUCUUAAUUAUGCUCUCAUGCAUAUGUAUCAAUUACCCACAUGCUCCUACCUAGCUUGUUACUGCAAAGAUAUUUUAAAAUAUAUAUAUUUGGAACAGUUUCCUCUGCAUGCAUCUCCAUCUGAAAAUAUCCUAUGAAAUAUUUCACCUCCACUGCAAUAAUCCGUGCCGGUUGGGACAUGCUUGCCAAUCUUCCCCUGCACGAUGAAAUUAAACCUCCUCUGUUGUCUACUGCAGUCUCAAGCCUGCUCAUUCUACCUGGCAAUUCUCUCCUUAUAACUCUCAGUGGCUUCAUUGCAGAUUUGGUUCUCUGGGUUUGUGUCUGCUUUGGUGGGUAUGGCCUGCAAUCCAGGAAGGAUCAGGGAUUGCCUGACCCAGGAAGUUAUAUUGAAAUGGCAGUGCAGGGGAAAGAAAGGGUGUUGAUAGUUUUGCUCACUGUUUCUCCCUAUUAGAAGUGACUCUGCAGGGUCUGUACUUCUGGGCCAGUGAAUUCUCAGAGAGUCUCAGUGCUAGGGAGGCAGUUUUAUCUGCUGGUGAAUGACUUUACCAAGUGAUAGCACGUGAAGUCCUCCAGUGGCCCUUUCGUGGUGAUCUUUGGAUUUACCUGACUCAGUUUUCCAAUUUGCAAGUCGAUUUUCUUCUUUCCUGAUUCUCCCUUUUCCUGCUACUCCUUUUCUUCCUGACUAUUUCUCUUGUCCUGGAGCUGCCCAUAAGAACUAUGCCUCCUUGUCUCUGUUGGGAAAAGCAUCUGUAAAUCUUCAUCUGGCAUUUUCAUCUAAAGGACCGAUGGCAUUCUGUGGGUGCGCUAAAACAUGGUGGUCUGCCUUGAUUUUUUAGCUGUUAUACUGAACUUAAAAAAAUUUUCUUUUGUGAAAGGGGAGAUUUUACCUGUGGAACCUCUAUUUUAUAACGUACAUGUUUUAUCAUUAGGUAAAACAUUUAACCUCUCUCCAUCUUGGUUCCUUCAUCAAUGGAGGUGGUAAUAUAAACACUGUAGUGUCACUGGGAAAAUUACAUGAAUUACGAUGCAAAAUGCUCGUCACACCUGGCCUACAGUCACUUGUAAAGUACUUAUUGUCUCCUCUGCCCCCUCACUCCAUUCUCAUGCUUGAGAUGCAUACAUGCUCUCUGGUGGAUUUGCUUUACAGAAGGAUUCUGGGGUUCUAGUUGAGAGAGUCGAUUUGGUUUGUCCCAGGAGAAGCCUGGGAAUCUGUGUUUGGAUUCCCAAAGCUGCCCAGGUGACACUGACUCGGGUGUUCUUCAGACUGUGCUUUUAGAGGCUGUUCCGUGGGCUGUAAAGACGGCGAGCUUGCACCUUGAGCAUCCUCAGGGCAGAGCUGUGUGCUGCCGGUUUGUGGUGAAUCACAGUGUCCGUCACAGACGAGACGCCCGACGCACACUGGUCAAAGUUCAGUGAGUACCUCCAUGCACUUUCCAUAUUACCUGAUUUAUUUUUUCAAGUUUUACUCCUCACUGGGCAAUCAGAAGGCUGUGUAUAAAGUACACUAGUGUGACCACUCAUCCUCAAGCCUGAAACAUAUCCUAGGCAACAUUUGAGUCCCCAUUCCCCUCCAUUCCUGCAGGUCUACAGCUAUCCAUCUUUCCAUAAGCCCCAGUUCCAAGCCGUGUUCUCUAUGACUCCCUCUCUGGUUAGAGUUAACAUUGCCCUUCUCUCCAACCAGCUUCUGCAUAUCAUGUAAGAUAAUUUAACUCACACAGGUUAUGUAUAUUCAUUGUCUCUCUCAGCAAACCGCACGCUCUCAGUGGUUUCCAGACCCACCCCCCUUUCCCAUCUGGACCACAGUUGGCUCAGUCCCAGCUCCAUCAUCUUGCUUGUGUUUAUGACAUGAGCUUCUUCUUUGACUGAGUCGGGUGACUGUGAGUUCUAUAUCUUUUCAAUAAACUCUCCUUUAAGUAG